UGCGGAAAUCGAAGAGUCGAUUACGGUGCGUUUUUCGGCGAAAUUCGCCUAAAGAACGCGGAUUCGAUUCGGAUUUCUUCCGACGUGGUUUGGUUGUCCGUUGAGUUGUCGCUGAGCCUUAUUGGCUGGUCACCAUCAUCAUUUUGUGGGUUCAAUGAUGACGGAUGAGCGACGGUGGUUCCGGUGUCGAAAUAGACACUUCCGGGAAUUCGGAUCCGAACAAUUAUCCGACGAUAAUUGUUGGGUUGUGUUAUCUUGUGUUUGCUACCAAGACAUUCAAAUUGGUGUAUUUUGUGGCAGCGGGUGACUCAUGGUACGAGUCGGUGAGUUUCGGGACACUUAGUGGGUCCCGACGGCGUCCCGGUGUAGUUUUCGGGACUUCCGGCGAGUUACGGUAAUCAGUAUUGGGAAACCGAUCUUCGUGAAAUUGUUUGUGGAGUUGUGGAUACUGUGAUUAUUAGUUGUGAGUUAGAUACUAACCCGGUGGACCCUCUAUAGGUCCUGUCGACAUUCUUUUGCAGUCAGGAGAUAGACGCGACAUCCUUACAAGUGGGUACUUCGAUCCGACGUCGGUACAGUGGUGCACACUUGGUGAUGGUCUCUUACCCUUACUCUUCUGUUGUUACUAUCGCAUAGUAUAUUGAGCCUUGCACCCUUGUUUAUUCGUUAUACUCUACUCGUUGUUUGCAUGCUUAGUAUCCUGAGUAGGAGUAGAGUAGUUCUAUCUUCAUGCGUAUCUGUUGACCUAGUUGGUCGGUUGUUGCAUUCAGUACCUGUUGACCUAGUUGGUCUGUUGUUGCGUUUAGUAUCUGUUGACCUAGUUGGUCGGUUAUUGCAUUCCGUAUCUGUUGAUCUACUUGGUUAGUUGUUGCAUUCUAUAUCUGUUGACCUGGUUGGUCGGUUCUCGUACUUCGUAUGAGGGACCUUGUUGGUCAGCUGUACUCUGUGGACCUUGGGUCCAGGCAACACAUCGACUCUCUUGUCAUGUGUUACGAUCUGGUUAAUCGUGGUUUGGCGUGGUACGCCCUUGUUUCUGGCUUCGGCCUAGGCACCAGCUUUAGCCGAAUUUCGUUUGAGCAUAUCAGCAUGAUUUAGUCACAGCACUGUGUAUUCUAGACACCAGGUUGGUUUGGCCACCAACCAAGGGGUGUACGUAUCCGGAUAGGUCGUCGGUGACGCAUGAAUAAGCUCUCAGUGUCUGCUCUGUGACAGGCAACGCUUAAGGUCUACGGACCAAUAUAGCAGCAUCAGAUUGGGUAUAUUUAGACUUAUCGUCUGGUUAACGCAUAUAACUAUAGUAGCAGUUGUCGCUUGUAUAUCUUCAGUUCUUUCGUUAGAUUGUCUUGCUACUAUAGUCUUGUUACAUGUAUACAUUCAGUUGUUCAUUACAGUAGCGGUAGUUGUACUUUCUUUCAUAUACAUGUCUCUUUCAUUUAUUAUUAUUGCUACUGUAUUUUCUACUGACCCGUACUGUUGUUUAGCUCUUCCUGAUCCGGUGAGUACUCCUCGCCUUCAUCGGCUUGCGGUACCCACUGGGAGGGGAGACAUGUUUACAUGUUCUCACCUCCCCCACUAUUUUUCAGGUAUCGCGGCGUGGCUGAGGUUGAGACGAGACGUGAGAUACGUACGUAGCGGUCGAUAGAGCUUCGACCCAGGUUAUUCGGUUUAGUUUCUUACCCUUACGUGUCCUGUUGAUAUAGUUUAGAUAGUUUAUAUGGAUCAGUUUUUGGGUAUUUCAGUUAACUAUCGUAUUUUGAUUUGGUUUUAUGAAUGAAAUAAAAAGAUUCAUGGUUUUCAUAAAUAAAAGGUUUUCUACCCUCGUGGUAGCGUUUUAAAGAAUAAAGGUUUCGUGUAGGAAACAGUUUUCAAAAAAAUUUUCUGUGGAUUUAUGUUUAAAUAUUGAAUGUAUAACUGUGAUGUGAAUGUGAAUGAAUAAUUGCAUAGUCGUUUCUAUAUU
rnacentral:lncRNA from 1 species